rnacentral:rRNA from 1 species
GACGAACGCUGGCGGCGUGCUUAACACAUGCAAGUCGAACGGAAAGGCCCUGCUUUUGUGGGGUGCUCGAGUGGCGAACGGGUGAGUAACACGUGAGUAACCUGCCCUUGACUUUGGGAUAACUUCAGGAAACUGGGGCUAAUACCGGAUAGGAGCUCCUGCUGCAUGGUGGGGGUUGGAAAGUUUCGGCGGUUGGGGAUGGACUCGCGGCUUAUCAGCUUGUUGGUGGGGUAGUGGCUUACCAAGGCUUUGACGGGUAGCCGGCCUGAGGGGGUGACCGGCCACAUUGGGACUGAGAUACGGCCCAGACUCCUACGGGAGGCAGCAGUGGGGAAUAGUGCACAAUGGGCGGAAGCCUGAUGCAGCAACGCCGCGUGCGGGAUGACGGCCUUCGGGUUGUAAACCGCUUUCGCCUGUGACGAAGCGUGAGUGACGGUAAUGGGUAAAGAAGCACCGGCUAACUACGUG